rnacentral:lncRNA from 1 species
AUUUGAUUAAGGCCUCCCCUAACCAGCACCAGUGAGUCAGGCAUAUCUGCCAUCCCCAAGUAAAAAUGAUAAUUAAUAAGAAGGUAAUCAAUUUAUAGAAACCUCCUUUCUUUCUCAAUUUCUGAUGAUGCCCUUUUGCCUGUUCAUAACCCCUUCUGGAAGAAGCAUAACAUGUUCCAGGAACAAUAAGAAGGCCAGUUUGGAAAAUGGUUCAAAUUUAGAAGGGCCAACAGGAGCCAGAUCAUGGGCCUAUGAGGCCAUGCUAAGGAUUUCAUCCUGGCCUAUGAACAAUGGAAAACUGUUGAAGGAUUUUAAACAGGAGAGUGGCAUAGUUUUGCAUUUUAAAACAUUCUAUAUUCUACUAA